UACGAAGGGGGGCGAGCGUUGUUCGGAAUUACUGGGCGUAAAGGGCGCGUAGGCGGCGAUCCGAGUCAGAUGUGAAAGUCCUGGGCUUAACCUGGGGACUGCAUUUUGAUACUGGAUUGCUUGAAUUCGGGGAGAGGAUAGCGGAAUUCCCAGUGUAGAGGUGAAAUUCGUAGAUAUUGGGAAGAACACCGGUGGCGAAGGCGGCUAUCUGGACAGUGACUGACGCUGAGAGCGAAACGUGGGGGAGCAAACAGGG
rnacentral:rRNA from 1 species